GGGGAAUCUUGCACAAUGGGGGAAACCCUGAUGCAGCGACGCCGCGUGAACGAUGAAGCCCUUCGGGGUGUAAAGUUCUUUCGACCGGAACGAUAAUGACGGUACCGGGAGAAGAAGCUGCGGCUAACUACGUGCCAGCAGCCGCGGUAAUACGUAGGCAGCAAGCGUUGUUCGGAGUUACUGGGCGUAAAGAGUGCGUAGGCGGUUAUGCAAGACAGGUGUGAAAUCCCCGGGCUCAACCUGGGAAUUGCACUUGUGACUGCAUGACUAGAGUGCGUCAGAGGGAGGUGGAAUUCCGCGUGUAGCAGUGAAAUGCGUAGAGAUGCGGAGGAACACCGAUGGCGAAGGCAGCCUCCUGGGAUGACACUGACGCUCAUGCACGAAAGCGUGGGGAGCAAACA
rnacentral:rRNA from 1 species